AUCCCAUAAUGCAUUGCGGCCCGACCGGAUUUUUUUUUUUUAAGCUAGUAAUGGCGGACGAACCGAGAGUCGAAGCGAUGGAGGAGUACAGUUUUAAAUGGUCCAAGGAGAGAAAGAAGCUUUUAUAAAGCUGAGGGAAAAAUGAACACCUCUUCACGGGGUUUAAGAAUUCGGCUGCUGUGGGAUGGAGGACAAUUCUGGAGAAGAUGGGCCUGCAGGGUAAAGUCACCCCCCUGCAGGCCAAAAAGAAGUGGGACAACUUGAAAAGAAAGUAUAAAGUAUGUAUAUGAGAAGUGAAGAAUUACAUUUUUAACUGCACAUGUUAAUAAAUGUUCAUUUUUAAAAGAU